UAGGGAAUCUUGCGCAAUGGGCGAAAGCCUGACGCAGCAACGCCGCGUGAGGGAAGACGGCCUUCGGGUUGUAAACCUCUUUCAGUAGGGACGAAGGUUCCGGGGGGAAUAUCCCCGUGGAUUGACGGUACCUAAAGAAGAAGCCCCGGCUAACUACGUGCCAGCAGCCGCGGUAAUACGUAGGGGGCAAGCGUUGUCCGGAAUCAUUGGGCGUAAAGCGCGUGUAGGCGGCCUGAAUAGUCUGGUGUGAAAUCUUGCGGCUUAACCGUAAGCGGUCACUGGAUACUGUCAGGCUUGAGUCCGGAAGAGGAGUGUGGAAUUCCUGGUGUAGCGGUGGAAUGCGCAGAUAUCAGGAGGAACACCUAUGGCGAAGGCAGCACUCUGGUACGUGACUGACGCU
rnacentral:rRNA from 1 species